rnacentral:tRNA from 2 species
GCGGGAGUAGUUCAAUGGCAGAACUCCAGAUUUCCAAUCUGUUAAUGCGGGUUCGAUUCCCGUCUCCCGCU